CUUCACCUCCGGCGGAAUUGCCCUCGAAUUGCUUUUCGGAAACAUACCAAGGCGUCGCUGUCAAAUCCAAGUCUGGCGGUGGAUCUGGAGUUGCUGGCCGGUCUUCUGGCUCCAAUCCGAAUGGCCUUAACCGAUAAAUCAGAUUCUUAUGCGCGGGUAAUGUCGCGGAGCUCUUCUCAAGCCUUGAGCAGAACGUAGAAGGUCAUCGGCUUUCGCUUUAUUUUGUUCGGCCGGCAUACGUGGAUCACGACUCAUUUCCUCAACCAGCGCUCCACUUGGAUCACCUAUGAGGGUUCACUGUCCCUCUUUUCUUGCUCUGAUAUCCAGGAGGAGCUUAUUGGAUUAACUUGACCAGCGUGAAGGUCAUUUACCUUUCUUCCUGCGUUAUUCGCCAAAAGGUAAGCUCUUUCUGAAUACUUGAAGACGAGGGUUCUAUAGACAUCUUCGUAGGUUUUGUGGAUCAACUGCGUGAAUAUUUAUGGAUUUGGUCUUUGUGCAUGGAAUUCUCUCCCUCCCCAUUUUUUCUUUUUUUUCCCUAUUAGUUACGCAAACAUCUUUGAUGAUUUUAUCACCUGCUAGUUGGUAUACGUUGAUUUGCGAACUAGUGACACCAAUUCCCUGAUUCGUCAAAGUUUUGAGGUAGAGGAUGUAGAUGAGUCGACAGCCGAGGAAAUUGGCGUAAGGCGAUUUCUCUCUAAUAACAUCUACAUUCGUUUCUGCUUUCAGUAGUAUCUCGUACGAUCUAAGCGUCGUAGUCUUGUGUAUAGGCCUGUAUCUUUUCCAGUUUCGAAAUGGUCUUUUUGAUUUCAGCAUUUGUUUGUUACAACAUCCAACAGUCACCUGAGAUGUCGUGCAAUAACUAUUUAACGUUUUUACCGAACAUGUCAGCAAGUGUUUAUGCGUUUAGUUCCUUUCGCCUUCCUUCCUUUUUCUUUUAGAUUUGUACCGUACUAUACCUAUUUUAGAAUUUCUGACGACUAUCACCUGCUAUUUUGUAUACUUUAACUUGUGAGUUCAAGGAUUCAAUUUUUCAAAUUCGUCAAAUGCUCAAGUAUUUUGUUUUAAGCAACCUUAUUUAUCUACUAAAUAUUA